GACGAACGCUGGCGGUGUGCCUAAUACAUGCAAGUCGAGCGGACCAAUAGAAGCUUGCUUCUGUUGGUUAGCGGCGGACGGGUGAGUAACACGUGGGCAACCUGCCUGUAAGACUGGGAUAACUUCGGGAAACCGGAGCUAAUACCGGAUAAUUCAUCCCCUCGCAUGAGGGGAUGCUGAAAGUCGGUUUACGCUGACACUUACAGAUGGGCCCGCGGCGCAUUAGCUAGUUGGUGAGGUAAUGGCUCACCAAGGCGACGAUGCGUAGCCGACCUGAGAGGGUGAUCGGCAACACUGGGACUGAGACAAGGCCCAGACUCCUACGGGAGGCAGCAGUAGGGAAUCUUCCACAAUGGACGAAAGUCGGAUGGAGCAACGCCGCGUGAGCGAUGAAGGCCUUCGGGUCGUAAAGCUCUGUUGUUAGGGAAGAACAAGUAUCGGAGUAACUGCCGGUACCUUGACGGUACCUAACCAGAAAGCCACGGCUAACUACGUGCCAGCCGCCGCCGUAAGAC
rnacentral:rRNA from 1 species